CGACCAGACUCCUACGGGAGGCAGCAGUGGGGAAUAUUGCACAAUGGGGGAAACCCUGAUGCAGCGACGCCGCGUGAGUGAAGAAGUCUUUCGGUAUGUAAAGCUCUACCAGCAGGGAAGAAAAUGACGGUACCUGAUUAAGAAGCCCCGGCUAACUACGUGCCAGCAGCCGCGGUAAUACGUAGGGGGCAAGCGUUAUCCGGAUUUACUGGGUGUAAAGGGAGCGCAGACGGCAGUGCAAGUCUGGAGUGAAAGCCCGGGGCCCAACCCCGGAACUGCUCUGGAAACUGUGCGGCUAGAGGACUGGAGGGGCAGGCGGAAUUCCUAGUGUAGCGGUGAAAUGCGUAGAUAUUAGGAGGAACACCAGUGGCGAAGGCGGCCUACUGGACAGUAACUGACGGUGAGGCUCGAAAGCGUGGGGAGCAAACAGGAUUAGAUACCCCUGUAUCG
rnacentral:rRNA from 1 species